UUGAUACAAUGAUGAGUGCAUAGUUCAGCAGAUUACCAUGACGAUGAAAAUUUGUCUUUCGCUCCUAACUGAUGUAUUGG